GGGGCUGUAGCUCAGUGGUAGACUGUAUACUUAACAUGCAGGAGGUCCUGGGUUCAAUCCCCAGUACCUCCA
rnacentral:tRNA from 1 species